GUCACCUCAUGUGACCACGACUUCUGUACUGGUGUGGCACAGCAGCAUUCACAUGUAAAAUUGGGAGCAGCCUGCACUUAACUACUAGAUGACAGUAUGGGUUAUACAUGUGAGACCUCAUAUUGGAGUUUCUCCCCGGCAUGCAGCCAGAGUAACAGUCCUGGGUCUGCUGCUCUUCUACCUGUAUCCUCACCAGCUGUUACAGAGCUGGAAGUAAUCUGCUGCAAGAAUGCCCUGGUAGCAGACACUUAUUUGGCCCUGUAUGGAUUCACUAUAUGAAGCUGGAGAGUUGGAUUUAGAGCAGAUCUCAUUGGGUCUCAGAAGUUAAAAUUUUUUCUUUAAUAAAAUGUUCUUGAAGAGAUGGUUUAAGAAUGAUGUCUUAGAAGUGGAAGUUGCACCUUUCAAUAGUUUGAAUCAUUACAGGAUUGCAAUGGUAUUGAAUGGGUAACUGUAAUUAUUGACUGUAUCCAGUUCUCCAUAUGCAAAUCACAACCUCAAAAUGUUCAGUGGCAGAUGGCAUACAGAGUAUAUAACUUCAUUGCAAGGCUGUGUUUUAUUGGAUGUGUUAAAUCCUACCUUUGAAGUUUGAAAGAAUAAACGGAGAUGUCAUUGAAAUAACAUUGUUAUCAAACCUAAUAUAACCUGAUGUAAAGCUAAUCUGGAUGUGAGUUGCAUCUUUUGAAACAAGAGUGAGACAAGGAAUGUUAGUUUUAUAUCACCCUUGUUACAAAUCUUGAAAGAACAGGCAAAAAAGCAUAACAUUCAUUCUUUUAAUACAAUGUAUAGACUAUAAUGAUAACAAAAUAGCAUAGCAUGUUCAUUUUUCAUAAGAGCUGUUAUAAAUAAGAACAGGAAAGAAAAUAAUAUCCAUCUAUUUUGCUUGGCCUAAAGCAUAACAGCUCUGACUAGAAAAUUUCUGGAUUAAAAAAUUAAAAAAGGCAAGUUUCAAAAUUAGAACCACCUUUAUGAUUAUCACUGACAUGGACAUUAGUGAAACAACAGUAUUUUUUAAAAUUAGUGCUUACUCACAGAAUAAAAAUUCAUGUUUGUUUUGUUGUUGUUGUCGUUGUUGGUUGGUUGGUUUUCUUUUGGUUUCUUUUUUUUUUUUUCCCUGAUGAAUCCCACAAAGGACACAAUCUCCUUCAUAAAAUGCUCCAUUGCUCCAUUUAAUGGAUGAAUGAAUGAAAGAUGAAAGUGAGGAAAGAACAAAAAGC